rnacentral:rRNA from 1 species
CCUACGGGAGGCAGCAGUGGGGAAUAUUGGGCAAUGGGCGCAAGCCUGACCCAGCAACGCAGCGUGAAGGAAGAAGGCUCUCGGGUUGUAAACUUCUUUUCUCAGGGACGAAGCAAGUGACGGUACCUGAGGAAUAAGCCACGGCUAACUACGUGCCAGCAGCCGCGGUAAUACGGAGGCGGCAAGCGUUAUCCGGAUUUACUGGGUGUAAAGGGCGUGUAGGCGGGAAAGCAAGUCAGAUGUGAAAACCAUGGGCUCAACCUGUAGCCUGCAUUUGAAACUGGUUUUCUUGAGUACUGGAGAGGCAGACGGAAUUCGUGGUGUAGCGGUGAAAUGCGUAGAUAUUAGGAGGAACACCAGUGGCGAAGGCGGUCUGCUGGACAGCAACUGACGCUGAGGCGCGAAAGCGUGGGGAGCAAACAGGAUUAGAUACCCUUGUAGUC